ACCCGAUUGGCACAAUUGGCUAGCGCGUUAGACUGUGUGUUAAUCUUGGCCCGAUUACAAUGUAAUUCUCACUAACAGUUUACUUAGUUUAAUCUAAAGGUUAUGGGUUCGACCCCCAUAUCGGGUG